rfam:Triticum aestivum genome assembly, contig: Triticum_aestivum_CS42_TGACv1_scaffold_641391_T_2BS-0.111476_7BS-0.088360
UACAUACUCCCUCCGUUCCGAAUUACUUGUCUUGGAUUUGUCUAGAUACGGAUGCAUCUAGACUCAUUUUAGUGCUAGAUACAUCCAUAUCUAGAUAAAUCUAAGACAAGUAAUUCGGAACGGAGGGAGUACAUC